rnacentral:rRNA from 1 species
GACGAACGCUGGCGGCAUGCUUUACACAUGCAAGUCGGACGAGUGGCGAACGGGUGAGUAAUAUAUUGGAACGUACCGAGUAAUGGGGGAUAACCAAUCGAAAGAUUGGCUAAUACCGCAUAUUAUUCGAGCUGCCAAUAUCGGAUUAGCUAGUGGGGGGGGUAACGGCCUACCAAGGCGAAGAUCAGUAGCUGGUCUGAGAGGAUGAUCCGCCACACUGGGACUGAGCCACGGCCCAGACUCCUACGGGAGGCAGCAGUGGGGAAUUUUGGACAAUGGGCGCAAGCCUGAUCCAGCCAUGCCGCGUGUAUGAAGAAGGCCUUCGGGUUGUAAAGCACUUUUGUUAGGGAAGCGGUACCUACAGAAGAAGCACCGGCUAACUACGUGCCAGCAGCCGCGGUAAUAC